AGUCCCAUAUCCUUUCCGUACAGCGUAAAUACCGUAUUGGAUCAUUUAAAGUCCUAUAUAGUGUUUCGAUUGAUGAAUUAAGUAUUGCAAUCGUCAGUCAUUCGUGUGUAUAAUUUCAUAAGUAGUUUGAUAAGUAGUUUUAAGUGUCUUUAAAGUGCUCGUUGAGGUAGUGUUCGCGUCGCUAUUGUGUGGAGACGUGAUUGUGGAUUAAAGUAAUAACGAACGUAAAUACUGAAGGGUACCAUUUUAAGAACACUUGGGCUAGUCAAUAGUUGUUAUUCCUUGACUACCCAAAGAUAUAAUGAGACUACAAGCAACCAGACGCCAUACACUCCGUAGUUCCUGAAGUUGGGUUGUUCACCAAAUUUUCUUACCCGCCCGUAAAUACGUCUAACCCCCAUUUAAAGCAUUCAGUUGUUAGCCUCAGUUUUCACCUGCCCAGUUUGUGAGCCAGUUCUUGCAUAUCAUUUCCCUGAACUUUAAAUUUUUCUAACUUGUACCCGUUGCUGCGUGUUCUUUAAUCAGCUUUUAAUAUAAGUACUUCAUCUAAAAUCUUGCUAAUCCCUAUGUCCAUUAGCUAAUAUAAAUCUACGCAGUCUCAAGUUUUUCCAACACUUGAUUAGACACGAGGGAGAAAAUGAAGUGCUUGUUAAAUGAUUAUUUUUAGGAGUCUUGUUAUUAAGUCUGUUUAACAAGUAACUGUCAUAUUGGGCUAAACGAGCAAAGAGAUCAUGAUAAUACGUACUUAACUAUUCUCGUGAUUGGUGUGUUGUUGAGAGAGAGAGAUAGAGAGAUAAUUUUGUGGUUACGUCGUAGAAUAGAGCGUUCUUUUAUUUUAUUUCAAUGAGUGAUUCUUUUCUGAUUGUAUUUUUCUUUUUUCCAAGACGGUGACGAGGGAACAUCUACAGCAUCAGAACACACACACACACACACACACACACACACACACCUAAGGAGAUUGCUGGAGGAGAAAGAAAAGAUUUUGAUAAUGGGAGAUUUUAAUUGCUCCGGGAUGACACUGCCUUGACCUCUGCUGCCCCAUUCACCUCCCUGCUGGAUCCUGCCCGUUGACCUUUACUGCCAGCCACAGCACCGCCACACUCCUACAGUUGCUCCCCAUCUCGACCUCCUCCUCACAUCCUCCCUGCUGUGCUGCCUCCCCGCUGCCUCCACCACCAACACCACGCUCCUGCAAUUGCUUCCCUAUCUCCACUUCCGCCUCCUCGACAGUCCGUAUCUGCAGUGUCCCGUCCCGUCCCUCACUGUCAGACUCCUUGGCUGGUUGCGGCGCCGGUGAAUGAGCAGCUUGAGCAUCUAAGAGUUCGAAGGACUCCCAAACUUUGAUUUGAUUUUUUUUUUUUUUUUUUUUAAUACACUUUUUGGUGAAGUUCAUGGCUACUUUAUCUCCGGAGACUCUUCGAGGCAAAAUUGUUGUAAAUAAAGGCAAUAAAAUUAAACUUUUGAUU